CAAGGAAUUUUCGUCAAUGGGCGCAAGCCUGAACGAGCAACGCCGCGUGGAGGAUGACGGCCUUCGGGUUGUAAACUCCUUUUCCGGGGGAUGAUUGUGACCGUACCCUGGGAAUAAGGCUCGGCUAACUCUGUGCCAGCAGCCGCGGUAAGACAGAGGAGCCAAGCGUUGUCCGGAUUGACUGGGCGUAAAGCGCACGCAGGCGGUUGGGCACGUGGGGUGUGAAAGCGGCCCGCUUAACGGGCCGAGGCCAUCCCAUACGGCCCGACUUGAGCCUGGCAGAGGUUCGUGGAAUUGCCGGUGUAGUGGUGAAAUGCGUAGAGAUCGGCAGGAACACCAAGGGGGAAACCAGCGAACUGGGCCAGAGCUGACGCUCAGGUGCGAAAGCGUGGGGAGCGAACCGG
rnacentral:rRNA from 1 species